GUAAAAUAAAUACGCUCAAGAACGCAACAACUUUCGUCAAGAAUUUGGCUCUCAAAAACUUAUGUAAUGAAUAGAAAAUGAUGAAUAAGAGAGUAUGCAUUUAGCAAUAAUAUGAUCAGUUGUUGUACUUAAAAGACUGAUUUAAGAUGUAUUAAUAGUGUUGAAAACAUGCACAACCGUUGCCUAAUUACCAAUUAAGAAUUGUUGAUUUUGUGCUAAAACAAUCGAUUGUCUAAGUUGCAUAAUCGAUUGUUUUCCAAUCGUCCAAAAAUCAUUCCCAGAUUUUACGCAUAAUAAUCGAUUAUNN
rnacentral:lncRNA from 1 species